rnacentral:rRNA from 1 species
UACGGAGGGUGCAAGCGUUAUCCGGAUUUACUGGGUUUAAAGGGUGUGUAGGCGGACUUUUAAGUCAGCGGUGAAAUCUCCGGGCUCAACCCGGAAACUGCCAUUGAUACUAUUGGUCUUGAAUGUUGUUGAGGUGGGCGGAACGGGUCAUGUAGCGGUGAAAUGCAUAGAUAUGACCCGGAACACCGAUUGCGAAGGCAGCCCACUAAGCAACGAUUGACGCUGAGGCACGAAAGCGUGGGGAUCAAACAGGG